UUUGAAUUGUGUGUCCUGAGAGUGCUUUGUUAGAGGUGUGUCUUCAAGGGGCCCUAGGAUGGGAGGCAGGGCUUUGAGCUGGGCCUCCUUUUUAGAGCCAUUAGGCUCCCCUGAAAGCUUAGAAGAAGGCAAACUGAAGGGGAGCUAAGUGUUUCCUUCUGGAUAGGAAGCGGUGCCAGUGUUGAGAUGGCUAGGGUAAGUAUGCAAGAGUCUGUGUAACUUCAUUCACUGGUGCUGGAUGCUGGAAGGCUUUCUGGUGAAUUGUCUUCAUUACACUACGUUUCUGUAUCGAUAGCUUCCUUUCCCCCAUCAGCACGACCUGGUCUGGCCUUCCGAUAUGUACUGUGAGUAGAAACAAUUAUAUUGUAAGAGAAAGAUGAGUUGUACUAAGUUGAAAGAAUACUGUUUCUUUGAACAGGAAUGAGAUGAUUAUGUUGGAAGGUAUUCAGAUCAGAAUUAAGCCAGGUGAGCCUGGGAUAAUAGGAAAAGAAAUAUUAGGUGUUAGGUAGAAAGUAAUUGAGGUAGCCAGAAAGAUAUGGACAGGAGAUUGCUGUGUGCUUGAAGUGGAAAUUAAGGUACUUCAGUAGUCUGACUAAUCAUGUAAAGUUUUCCUACCUUUUAAUCUUGUUAUAUUUAUUCAGUCAAAAGCCAAUGUAAGGGGUUGGAGUCUUGUAUGGUACUCACAUUUUCUGGGUUUAUUAGCAGAGGGGCUUUGCUAAUAAACAGCGGGGUCUGACAAAUCUGAGUCCUGUGGGUCUGACUUCGACAAUUUGGAGGUCCCGCUGUGAUGGCAGUAAUCUUCACUGAGGCUGUGAGAUACCUGACAGUCUUGCAGGAUGACCAUGGCUGCCGGCACUUGGGCGUUUGGGCCAAGCGGUCCUCUGACAGUGGCAAGGUGCACAACCACAGCGAAGUCUACAGUGUCGAACCUGUUGGUUCCCGCUCUGCUCUGGUAGGGAUCCUGGGAUAUAACAUCAGGACUCUGGUCAGGUAAUUAUUUCUAUAUUUUGUUGGCACCGAGGACUGUCUUGUCUCCGUGUGUAUCCAUCUUCCCUGUGGCGUGAGUGAGUCAUCCCUAUCCGCGGACUAACGGACCAAGGGGCUCCUGUCCCCACGGUCUGUGUGACUGGAAUCUGCGCAAUCGCAGCCGCACCACACCUUGGAUAAAAUCCUUGGAGUGAACGCAAGGGCGGUUGAGGCAGUAGCCUGUGGGCUUUUUUCGUGGGGUGCACUGGGCACUGCUCUGGCAAAUCUGAUUCGUGUGUGUGUCUGACUUUGACAGUACCCUGGUAUGACACUGUCCCAUUGGUAGUCCUCCUUCCACCAAGUUUCCGUGGUGCCUAUUGUAUCGGUAGCCUCCUUUGAUACGAGGCGCUCUGGUUCACCCACUUAAUAUUUAGAGGUCUAGCGUUUGUCUAGAAGCCCUUUGAAAAUGUCACGCUUUAGCUGUCUGCUGUUUCCAGACGUGUUAGACCCUUUUUCGUGUGAUUGUUUCUCCUCUGCUCUUACCCAGUCUCUCCCUUAAUAGAGAUGUCCCCUAAGAGAUGUCUCUGUCCGAUGCAGGUGCUCUUCCGCACCCGUCGACUUCCCUUUAGCCUCUAGUUGAAAAACUGCUCUCCGCCUUUUCUAAUGCUAAGGGCCGGCAGUCGGGUUCCCUUUUUGGUUUAGGUGGAGCCCAUCCUUCCCGUACAGGCUCCCUCUUCCUCUAAAGUUCCUUUCACCGCUUAAAUCCCUCCUCUCUGCUCCAUCGUCUUCUCCGUGCAUUGAGACUGUGAAGGCCUGCCUGCCUGCCUACCUGGCCCUGAGCAUGGAACUGGAAGCGUUUUGGAGUUAGCCUGGGAAAGGUCCGAGAGGCGCGCUUGGGUGGGGGCGCCUUCAGGGGCUGAUUGGGUUGGAAGCAAGGCACUUGGAGCCAGCAGCCUUAUCCCAGAGGCAGCCAGAGCGAACUGAGUGAGCAGCCAACAGGGGACUUGCCCUCGGCGAUGUCCAGGUGGAGCUCGGGUCCAUAGAAAUGACAGGGUCAUUCAUAAGCAGGGCUUCCUGAACCACACUGAGCCCCCGCUCGCCAGCUGCAUUGUCCGGCGAUCUGCGCAUGCACAGAUCGCCUGAACCCAGCUCUUCCGGGUUGCACUCUACUUGCCACAGGUGAGAAGAUUGCACUAUUUAUCGAGCCCUCUUCAUAAGUAUAGCUAUCUGUUAUCACACCCCUCCCUUUCCGUUUGAGGCAAAAUAAAUCCCUUUCCAUGCACAUCCCAUUGUACUGGCACAACCAAACCCUGACCUUGCUUUUAGUCAUAAGAGGAAGCUGUUUGCUGUUCCUAGCUCUUGCUGUUUAGAGGAGUUCUUGAACAAACAGCCUCACAGACAGAUUGAUGAACACAGACAGAAAGAUGCACAAACUCUAAAAUAUAUAGUAAGAUGAGUAACUCAGAGGACACCAUUCAUUAAACAGUUCAGUUGACUACAUCGAUUUCUGAUAUAACUCAGUUGAUUUGAGUAAAAUUACAAAACCCACCGUAAAAUAAUUUUUCCUCUGUAUUGUAGGAGUUCUUCUGUAUCAGUCAGUACGUUCAUGCAUCUUAACUUGUCUUGCUUCUUGAAAAGGCUUCUUCUUUUUUCUUCACUCUUACACAUGUUCUUUACUUUAUUUUCCCCUGUUUGAUUUCCCAAAUAAUUGUUGGAAGCCUUUUAACAUCAUCAUCGUCCCCACUAAUCAUACAGCCUGGAUCCAGCAGUUCCCUGUGAUCUGUGAAUAAAAGAGGCUCUUCUCUCAUGAAUACUUCCCAUGCAGAAAAAGGGCUUUAAUCACCUCUGCAGCAGUAUUCCCCCCCUUCCUCUAGAGCUGUACAGAGGGAAGAAAACAGGCAUUAUGUGGGCUGGUCAGUAUUAGGACUAGGGGAGUCAAGUGUGAUCCUCUACCAACCAGACAGCUCAGGGCAGAAAUGCAAUGCAGUGAGAGGCUAAAUUGUAUGUCUGCUCUCACUGCUCUGCCACUGGACCGUCUUUAAGUGGGGCAUGAUAGGAAGCUGUGAUGUGAUAGGAUAGGUCCACUGGAGCAAGGAGAGUUAUCAAAGAUGCAACAGCAGCAUAGAAGCUGGAGUCUCCUGAUAGGCCUCCCUGACUUUCUGCUGAGGCCUCUUAAGAAAUGGAAGAAAAGCAAGUAAUGGAAUCAGAAUCAUACUUAUGACCGCUUGCCUAGCACCAGUGUCAAAGCGCUGUCGUUACUGUGUACUCAUUCCUUGAACAAUCUUUGUGUCUGCACUGUGCUUAGCACAGUGGGGGCCCUGACGUGACUAAGACCUCUAGGUACUACCACAAUACUGUAUAAACAAACUAAUACUCUAAAUCUUUACUGCAUAUGUUUUCUAUUAAGUUUCCCCACCCUGUUUAGCUCCUGGUUCCAGGCAGUCAAGUUCUCCUGUCAGUCAUACACAUGACAUGUAACCAAACUGAAAUCCCUGGUGCAAGAGUGUGGAGAAUCUGGUCUAGAACCCUAGGCCUUGGUUACAGAGCAUUUUUUCUUUUUGAGUGAACAUGACUCCAGUUACCCUCUUAGCCUGUUUUUAUCUUGUCUGACUCAGGAUCUACUUGCACUCCUCAUUUUGGCAGAUGCUGGCAGACAGAAACAAAGCCCAACAUGACACAAUUCCAUAAGAUGAUUUGCCUAGAGGAGCAAUCUCCCAAUGGCUAUGUUACCAAACAAAAUUAUCUAUCCUAUACCAUUUUAGCACCUCUUUUCUUACUAUUUAAAAUUAUUCUUUCCUCCUUUGUCUGUUGUUCUUCUGAAAGGCUGAAAGCCAUUAUGUCCUCCACGCCUCCUUCUUGCUAUUUACAACUAGUAGUAGUUCAUGCAUGUACUUCAUAGUUUACCUACAAGUCUUUUUGCUUUUCAGUUAAAGCUUUUGCGCAGGGUCAAUUCAUAGUGAGAGAGGGUUUGAGAGAGUUUGUCGGUCUGUGAAUAAGAGUCUUUCUGUCUGUUCGUUCAACAACUCCUUUUAAAUGGUAAGAGCUAGGACCAUGAACAUUGGUAUACAGCUUCCUCUUAUAACUUAAAGCAAGGCAAAGCUUUGCUUGUGUGAGGGGGUAGGAGUGGGGUUGGAGCAGGGUGAGAAGUGAAGCGCCCCUCCUCCCCGUUACAUAUGGAGAUGCAUAAAGCCAUACAAAAAAGAGAAUCACUAGGCAGAUCAACAGGACUGGUUAGAGGUCCUCCCCCAUCCAGGACUGCUCCAGCUCUGAGCCCCCCAGGCACCCUUUGGGGAAUGGCAGCUCCCCCCAUGUUCACACAGGAACAUUGCUGGCUGUUCCCCUUCAUUAGGGAGUGAGGGGAAAGUGCACAUUUUGCUCCAUUUCUCAAUCUGGCUGGGGAGUGCAGAAGGCCAGAUGAACUUGGACCUGCCCCUUCUCCAGCUGUGCCCACUUCAGCUGCAGCAGCCAUGGAGAGGUGCAUCUCACAUGCCUGCAAGCUACUGCAGUGAGAGGACUGGGGUAGCCCUCUCUACCCAGGGAAGCCUGAAAAAUGUAACAAUUUGAGUUAAAGUUUACUGUGUAAAUCAUCUAGUACACUCUAUUUUGGAAUCUGCCAACUUGUGCUCUAGAAUCUAAGUUAUUAAAAGCUAAGGUCUGACAAAUGUGACAGGGUCAGGACAGGGGGGUACCCCAGAACCAGCAGGAAGCUGGUAGAAUCAGAGUAAUCAGGCCAAUUAAAACACCUGGAACCAAUUAGGAGGCUUUCAGAUUCGAGAGACUUGGCUAAUCAGAACACCUGGGGGGGCCUAUUAUGAAAGAGCCAGUUGAGAAUGAUUUUAAAAGGUUUCCCUUCUGUUUGUUCAGUGUGCAGGGAAGGAGCUGAUGAGAACACUAAACUAGCCCCCCAUCACACACCAUGUCCAGAGGCUUGGCAAGGCUGUUGACCUGCCUACUAGCAAAAGACGGAUCCGUUGCUGCUUGCUGCUACUACUCCACUAUCUCAACACUCCUCCAUCAGACAUCCCAAUGAAACAUGCAAUCUGAUACACCUAACACAGCAUGAUGCAGUCUUGCUAGAAACAGAGCAGGAGACCCUUUGUUGGGAAUAGAAUAUGAAACACGCUAUUUGAAAUAAACAUUUCAGAGGUUCCCCUCAGUAAAGAAAAAGAAUAGUACCACCCAUUGCACAGGGUUGUCUCACGGUCAGAGCAGGACAUUAGUCGUCAGAAGAUCUGUUUCUAUUCCCACUAUCAGUGACAGCUAAUUCACUGCGUGACCUUGGCAUUGUCAGUUAGGUCCACAUUUCACAUGUGCCUGCUAAUUCUGUAUAGUUCAUUCCCAAGUGCUCAACCCAUGAUUUUUAAGAAGUGCGUUACACCAUUAACCCUAGUUGAAGUAAGUAAAAAAACUUGUCGUGUGCGCUCUCUUUUUAAAUGGAAAUGCAGGUUGUACCUCCGAAGACUGGCAUUCUCUGGUCUGGCAACAUCUGUCGUCUGGCAGGACUACGGAUACUCCUGGACCAUAAACAGGGAACCAAAGGGCAGGAGGGUCAGCCAGGGCAGUGGAAAACAAGGUCGGUAACUUAGCUUGAGGCAGAGUGGAAUCUUCUGGCAUCUCUGGGAAUGUGAGCUGGAGCCCCAUGGCAGCUUGCAGCUUGUGUCAGCAUGGGACCAAAGCCCUGCGGCGGCCCCUGGAAAUGUGAGGCUGGAGCCAGAACCACAAGGCAGCACUGGGUCGGAGUCUUCUGGCAGCUCCCAGAAGCCUGGGGCCAGAGCCCCGAAGGAGAUGGGGAGGCUGGGCCUGGAGCCCUGAAGCAGCCCCUGGGAAUGCCGGGCUAGGCGGGAGCCUUGCAGUACCCUAUAGCAAGUGGGGCCAAAGCCCUGUGGCAGAAGCUGGAUCCUGUGUUGCCCAGGGAGCUGACAGCAGCUGGGCAAGCAGCCCAGCAUGGGCUUGGGGGCUGGUUGCAGACCUCCCCUGGUCCAGCAAAUUCUCUUGUUCAGGACCAAUCAAGUCCUGACAGUGCUGGAUCAGGAAGAUCCAACCUGUACUAAUAUUCAUUCAUCUUUGUAAAAAGUGUCUUGAAACCAUAGGAGAAAGUGCUACAUAAUAUCAUGUGGAUAGCCUGUGCUGUUUUAUAGAUGUAAAAAGGCCAAACAUGUCUGUGGAUCCCUUUGUAAUAUUUUCUGGAUGUUAAAGAUUGGGAUUAUGGCUUGCCCCUGCACAGGAAUGCAGUGCGGGUUUUGGAGAGGAGAUUUCUCAUGUUCUCACAUGGAUCUUGCACACAUUGACAAAUCAAGUCAGAAUUUGGCUAUAUACCAAUUAUAAUCACUUACUUGGGGAAAGGGAUGAAAUGGUUCAUGGAAAGAUAAUAAAUGAAAAUAGAAGUAGGUAUGUUUUAGGGAUAAAAUGUUUUUUAAACUAAUUACGCAGUAACAUUAAGUGUGUACAAAUUACCACUUGCUGGGCUAUUUUUAUAACUUUAAUUAACUCCACGACAGGUACAGUAACAAUAGCUGAGUUCAAGCAAAUUUAUUCAUUCCUAAUUUACUGGAAUGAAAGAAUGACAGGUAGAUACACUGGACAAAAAGCAAAGUUCUGCCAUUCUUUAAAAUUUUCACUGAUGUCAACAUUAAGGAAGAGUUUUGCUUGAUUAAUAACUUCAGUAAGUAGCAGAAGAAAAUUAUGUACCAUAGUGUAUACUCAGUUGAUGUAAUUUUUGUUGUCCUGCUGAUUUCAGAUGAGGUGGUAGGGUGAAGUUUGGGUGAAAUCCCAUUGAAGCUGUAGGUAUAACAGCUGCUCUUCUUUCCAGAUAAAUGUUGUUGACAAAUUGUAUAGUCAACUAAUUGACUACACUUUGGGUCAAAUAUACUCAAGAGAACAAAUAAUCAAUGCCAGUCACGUUUACUGAUAUAAUAACAAGGUUCAUGAUAGCAAUCUAUAAGAUGUCAUCUUGUGCAGUGAUGUUAUAUUCCCUUUAUACAGGUAUGUUCCAAAAGUUGCACAUUUCAGCUGCUGUUAGCUAUACUAGCCAAUUAGCCUAUCAUAAGACAGGAUUUUCAUGUCUCUCCUUCACAGCUGCUGAGCCUCUGGCAUGGUGGGGUGGGUGGGUGUGUCCUCCUCCUGCCUUCCCCUUGCUCUCUUUCAGCUCUCCUCUGCCUCCUGCCUCUCA